rnacentral:rRNA from 1 species
GACGAACGCUGGCGGCGUGCUUAACACAUGCAAGUCGAACGGAAAGGCCCUGCUUUUGUGGGGUGCUCGAGUGGCGAACGGGUGAGUAACACGUGAGUAACCUGCCCUUGACUUUGGGAUAACUUCAGGAAACUGGGGCUAAUACCGGAUAGGAGCGCCUGCUGCAUGGUGGGGGUUGGAAAGUUUCGGCGGUUGGGGAUGGACUCGCGGCUUAUCAGCUUGUUGGUGGGGUAGUGGCUUACCAAGGCUUUGACGGGUAGCCGGCCUGAGAGGGUGACCGGCCACAUUGGGACUGAGGUACGGCCCAGACUCCUACGGGAGGCAGCAGUGGGGAAUAUUGCACAAUGGGCGGAAGCCUGAUGCAGCAACGCCGCGUGCGGGAUGACGGCCUUCGGGUUGUAAACCGCUUUCGCCUGUGACGAAGCGUGAGUGACGGUAAUGGGUAAAGAAGCACCGGCUAACUACGUG